GUCUCGGUAGCUCAGUUGGUAGAGCACCUGUACUACUUGAUGAGCGAAAGGCCUAGUAAUAACUGCCAGGAGGCUGCAGGAUCGAAGCCUGCCCGGGAGCA